GUUUUUUUUUUGUAGUGGGAAAAAUUCCUAAGCAACCGAAUAUGGACGUAUGUAAUAAUAGUUAUCAUAGAUCGCAGAGGGCGGAAUGCAUAAUUGCUAUGAAACAUUUUUUUAAGCUUGGCAUUGGUGAAUAAGAUGCAAUGAAAAUGUACAAGAAUAAGUACAAAUUCACCUCGGAGGUGGUAGCAUAUGGCUGCAUCUACCAACUUGCACACAAAACAUCUAUGGUCUAUGAACACCUGACUGAUGCUUUAGAUGAAUUUAUUGGCAGUGUGGUUUUUGGUUAGCCACUGAUGUUCUAGUUCAUGUCUCGAGUUUGUGAAGAUGAGCGGAAGAGCCAGAUAUGGGUCACAGAGGAUGGCACUAUGGAUAAAUAUAACGACUCAUUUGAGGAUGUCCUCCUACUCCAAAACAAUCCACAGUUAAUGGACAAAAACUUCAACAUCCUCCGGGAGAGAAUCGGCACAAACACAUUACAAAUAGAGAUGCUAGCAUACAAAUACACCAACUGAAAGAACAUGCGGUGCCCCAUGUUUGGUUUUGGUAAUUGAUAACAAUCUCUAUGGACUAAUGGUUGCCUUGAGUUAUAUUUGAAGGUUUUGUCCAUAGGCUUUUCUUGGAGUACAUGUGUUUGUUUCAAGGAGAGUUUGUGUCUAUCAAGGUGUUAUUCAAGGAAUUAUCCAAAGAUUAGUCAUGUGAGAGUUGAGCUUAUUGCAAGCAUGUCUUGAAGAAGAAGAUUGUGUGAUCAUUCAUGUCUACCUUUGUAACGCCCGGAUAAUUAAGCUACAGUAAUUUUCUGCUGAUGAUGCCACGUCAUCACUGUUACUGUUGUUAAACUCGCGUUGGUUCGUAUCCGGUCCAAAUUUAAAUUUAAAAUAAAGUCAAAAAUAAAAGUUUUUUUUUAAUGUCAAAACCAAAAUGUGCAGGCUGUGGAAAAUAAUUCAUAAAUAUUAUUGGAGAAGAAACCAAAUUCUUAUAAGAUGUUUAGGUGCUCAAAAAUAAAUAAAACAGUGGCUUAAACAAUUAUUCAAAUGCCUUUUGUAAUUUCUAAAAUGUUAAGCUAUUUUAUUUUUGGGUGAAACUUUUUGUGGCAUUGGUAUAAUUAGGAAUAAUAUUUUAGGAACAAAUUCUAUAUUUUAUAGAACUCUAAUAAAUUAAAAGUUGAGUGAAAACAGAGCAGAAAAUAAACAAUAGAAAAAUAAAACCCAAACAACAAAACAAAACAAAUCCCCUCCCCAUCUCCCCUGUUCACGCGAUCGUGGACACCGGCGAUGGCCGCCACGGCAGAGGGCGUCGCCGUGGCGCCCAUCCGCCACCCCUCCGGCGCCUACUUAACCGGUGUCCCCCCUCUCCACGCGAACCCUAAUCCCCACUUCCCCCCUUGCGCCCCCAACCCCUCGAGCCCGCCCCGUGGAUGCCCGGAGCCGCGUCGCCAUUGGUCCUCGCCUUCCCGUCGCCUCGUCGACACGUCUUCCUCCGCCACGGACACCGCACACUCAUCGUCGAUUCGUUUCACCACGAGUCCCUCCAGCAUCACCGAGCAGCUCCUAGUCAACAAUGUGAGCAGGCGCCCGAACCCCUUCUGUUUCACCAUCUAAUCCGUGCCCAUUGCCUAGCUAGACGUCGCGUCCGAAGCUCACCAUCGCAGUUCAUGUCGCCACCGCGGCCACUGCUCGCGAAGCUCACGACGAGCUCCGCUUCGUGUUCCUGGAGUUCUCAGGAACCCGUAGCACCCAACCCCGUCGCUUCCCGUGUCCUACAUCGCCUCCUUGAGUUCUCCAUGGCGCCAUCGAAGCAUCGCGUCCGCGCUCCUGCGCGCUCGUGUAACCGCCGCGGCCUGUCCGUGCCCACCUGCGCUGCUGCCGCUAGUUGCUUCUGCUGCUGAUGGCUGCUGCUCUCGCCGCCGUUCUCUGCCACUUGUGUUCGCCUGCAACUUUGCUGCUGUCGCCGGCGCUCCCUGCGUGCGCCCGCCGGAGCACCCCGGCCGCGCCCGCGCAUACGCGCGCCCGUCCGCCUCGUGCACGGCUUUGCCUCCCCUGCUGCAGCGCCCCAGCCCGCUUGCUCCCACCGCUACUUGCUGUAUUGAUGCUUGUACUGUAGUCUGUAGGUGCUGCUAGCUAGCUUUGCAAAUCCUACACUAACUAACCCUUUGGACAGCCUCUAAACAUACACUAAACAAUUGUUAACAGGUCUAAGAAGAAUAUGAGUAGAAAGUAUACUUGACAAACUUCAUUUUAUCCCACUGGACCAAAUCCUUUCGAUGCAUCGAUUAAAUCCUAUAAAAAUCACAAAAUGCCAUCUUCUCUUACACCUAGCAUUGUGUGUGUAUACAGCCACCACUGCCCGGGCCGUACAAAUUAGUUUAGGGGAUAAUUUCUAGUUAGUUUAAUUGCUAGCCAAUGAUAAGAGGGGCCCAUGUUUAGAUUAGAUAAAUCUACUUAGGAAUUUAAUAAAACUAAUUAACUUUUAGUUAAUUUCGCUGACAUGUGGCCCUGCUGUAAAUUAAAAUGAUAGAUUAAACUAAAAGUGCCUAAGUCUAUGACAGCCGGGACCCACCUUUACUAUUCACUGCUGACUGGACCCUCCCUGACCCACUGUCAGCCUCUGUGUACACAAAGCUGGCUACACAUAGCAAUUUGUUAUUUAAUUUUGAAUUAAAAUAAUUUCAAAAUAUUGUUUAAAUCUUUGAAAAAUCAUAGAAAAUAAUCCGUAACUCGGAUGAAAAAGUUUUAUACAUGAAAGUUGCUCAGAACAACGAGACGAAUCCGGAUACGCAGCCCGUUCGUCCGCCACGCAUCCCGAGCAUAGUGAACAUACAAAUUUUCCCCUCCGAUUCAUCUGUCCGAAAACGCGAAACACCGAGGAUAUUUUCCCGGAUGUUUCCCCCCUUCACCGGUAUCACCUCAUACCGUGUUAGGGCACCCCUAGCACCGUUACUUGACAUGUCAUGCAUCGUCAUGCAUCUGUUUGCUUAAUAUUUAUUGUUUCUUUCCCCUCUUCUCUCGCUAGACACCGAGACCGACGCCGCUGCUACCCAGUACGACUACGGUGUUGACGAUCCCUUUCUCUUGCCAGAGCAACCAGGCAAGACCCCCCUCUUGAUCACCAGAUAUUGCUUACUCUUCUCUAUACUGCUUGCAUUAGAGUAGUGUAGCAUGUUACUGCUUUCCGUUAAUCCUAUCCUGAUGCAUAGCCUGUCAUUGUUGCUACAAUUGUUGAUACCUUACCUGCAAUCCUGCAUGCUUAGUAUAGGUUGCUAGUAGUUCAUCAGUGGCCCUACAUUCUUGUCCGUCUUCCAUGCUAUACUUUCGGGCCGUGAUCACUCGGGAAGUGAUCAUGGGUAUAUACAUACAUAUAUACAUACUAUCAAGCGGUGACUAAAGUCGGGUCGGCUCGUUGAGUACCCGCAAGUGAUUCCGAUGUUGGGGGCUGAAGGGGCAGGUGGUUCCACCCAGGUAGUGGUGGGCUUGGGUUCCCGACGGCCCCCGACUAUUACCUUGAGGCGGAGCGACAUGGCAGGUUGAGACCACCUAGGAGAGAGGUGGGCCUGACCCUGGUCGGCUUCCGUGGAUAUGUCAGCAUAACAUGCUUAACGAGAUCUUGGUAUUUGAUCUGAGUCUGGCCGCUGGCCUAUACGCACUAACCAACUACGCGGGAACAGUUAUGGGCACUCGACGUCGUGGUAUCAGCCGAAGCCUUCCUGACGUCAGCGACUGAGCGGUGCGCGUCGGGUUGGACUGGAACGCCUGCUCUUGUAUAAGGGAGGCUAGGUCUGCUCGCCGGCCGCGUUCGCAACGUGCAGGUGUGCAAUGGGCGAUGGGCCCAGACCCCUGCGCCAUAGGAUUUACACCGGCAUGCUGACCUCUUUGUUGUGCCUAGGUAGGGUUGCGACGUGUUGAUCUUCCGAGGCCGGGCAUGACCCAGAAAAGUGUGUCCGGACAAAGGGGAUCAAGCGUGUUGGGAAAUGUGGUGCACCCCUGCAGGGAAGUUAAUCUAUUUGAAUAGCCGUGAUCUUCGGUAACAGGACGACUUAGAGUUGUACCUUGACCUUUUGCCAACUAGAACCGGUUACUUAAUAAAACACACCCUUCCAAGUGCUAGAUACAACCCGGUGAUCGCUCUCUAACAGGGCGAUGAGGAGAGGAUCGCCGGGUAGGAUUAUGCUACACGAUGCUACUUGGUGAACUUACCAUCUACUCUCUUCUACAUGCUGCAAGAUGGAGGUUGCCAGAAGCGUAGUCUUCGAUAGGACUAGCUAUCCCCCUCUUAUUCCGGCAUUCUGCAGUUUAGUCCACAUAUGAUACCCCUUUUCCAUUUGAUACCAAUGCAUACAUAUGUAGUGUAGCUCCUUGCUUGUGAGUACUUUGGUGAGUACUCACGGUUGCUUUGUUUCCCCUUUUCCCCCUUCCUAUACCCGAUUGCUGCGACCAGACGAUGGAGUCCAGGAGCUAGAAGCCACCGUUGACGAUGACUCCUACUACACAGGAGGUGCCUACUACUACGUGCGGCCCGCUGACGACGACCAGGAGUAGUUUAGGAGGAUCCCAGGCAGGAGGCCUGCGCCUCUUUCGGUCUAUAUCCCAGUUUGUGCUAGCCUUCUUAAGGCAAACUUGUUUACUUACGUUUGUACUCAGAUAUUAUUGCUUCCGCUGACUCGUCUAUGAUCGAGCUCUUGUAUUCGAGCCCUCGAGGCCCCUGGCUUGUAAUAUGAUGCUUGUAUGACUUAUUUUAUUUGUAGAGUUGUGUUGUGAUAUCUUCCCGUGAGUCCCUGAUCUUGAUCGUACACGUUUGCGUGUAUGAUUAGUGUACGAUUGAAUCGGGGGCGUCACAACCUUCAAGACAUCAUCCAAAUGAAGAGAAUUGGAAAGGUUUAAGGUUGAUCAAGACUAAGUCAAGAGUGAAUCAAGUUGAUCAACUCACAAAGCGCAGAAGAUGUACCGAAAGGGAUCAAGUGGUCCCAUGGUAUGGUAAGCAUUGUCAAUUACGCUUUGUAUACUAACCCAUGGUCUUCGUGAGAGUUCUGUGUGGGGUUAGGUUGCCGUGUGCAAGUUCAAGUGAUGCAUCACAAAGAGAUCAAGUGCUUGAAGCUUGCCUUCCAUUGUGGUGACAAUGGACUUGUGAAGAUGUGCGUAAGAGUUUCUCACCCAUAGUGGAGUAUGGGGGAGCAAUCUACUAGUCUUCACCAAGCCACCGCAAUCAAGAAAGGUGGUCCAACUUGAGAAAGUCAAGAUCAUCAUCAUGUAGCUCAAGUGGACUAUGUGCAAGACAAAGGUUUGCCCUUGAUAGGUUUUCUAUUUUACCGGUCUCAUAGUGGUAGUCGGGAGACCGGGUUAUAGGAUUGAUUGCCGUACUAUCAAGAGGGGCUCUCGAUGAGUAGCUUGAUCGUAUCGUUCGUAGAGAGUUCAAACCAUUGCAUCCUUGCAUCAUCUUUAUUGGUUCUUGUUUGGUUCUUCUCUUUGUGAGUUUUGGAGCUUAUGGUCAUCUUGAUGACAAGCUCGAGUUCAUCAAAAACGGAGUUCACAUGCAUCUUCUAUGAUGUUUUCGAUGUUGGAGGUUUUGCCGGUUCUUCUCGGUUGGAGGUUUGAUACGUCUCCAACGUAUCUAUAAUUUUUGAUUGCUCCAUGCUAUAUUAUCUACUGUUUUGGACUAUAUUGAGCUUUAUUUUCCACUUUUAUAUUAUUUUUGGGACUAACCUAUUAACCGGAGGCCCAGCCCAGAAUUGUUGUUUUUUGUCUAUUUCAGUGUUUCGAAGAAACGGAAUAUCAGACGGAGUCCAAACGGAAUAAACCUUUCUGGAACGUGAUUUUCUUCCCGAAUAUGACCCAGGAGACUUGGACCCUACGCCAAGGAAGCUUCGAGGUGGGCACGAGGUAGGGGGCGUGCCGUAUACCCCAAGGCGCGCCCCCCACCCUCGUGGGCCCACCGAAACUCCACCGACGUACUUCUUCCUCCUAUAUAUACCUACGUACCCCCAAACGAACAAAGACGGAGCCAAAAACCUAAUUCCACCGCCGCAACUUUCUGUAUCCACGAGAUCCCAUCUUGGGGCCUGUUCCGGAGCUCCACCGGAGAGGGCCGUCAUCACGAAGGGCUUCUACAUCAUCAUAGCCUCUCCGAUGAAGUGUGAGUAGUUUACCUCAGACCUUAGGGUCCAUAGUUAUUAGCUAGAUGGCUUCUUUUCUCUUUUUGGAUCUCAAUACAAAGUUCUCCCCUCUCUCGUGGAGAUCUAUUCGAUGUAAUCUUCUUCUUUUUGCGGUAUGUUUGUUGAGACCGAUGAAUUGUGGGUUUAUGAUCAAGUCUAUCUAUGAAUAAUAUUUGAAUCUUCUCUGAAUUCUUUUAUGUAUGAUUGGUUAUCUUUGCAAGUCUCUUCGAAUUAUCCGUUUGGUUUGGCCAACUAGAUUGGUAGUUCUUGCCAUGGGAGAAGUGCUUAGCUUUGGGUUCGAUCUUGCGGUGUCCUUUCCCGGUAACAGAAGGGGCAGCAAGGCACGUAUUGCAUCGUUGCCAUCGAGGAUAACAAGAUGGGGUUUAUUUCAUAUUGCAUGAAUUUAUCUCUCUACAUCAUGUCAUCUUGCUUAACGCGUUACUCUGUUUUUAACUUAAUACUCUAGAUGCAUGCUGGAUAGCGGUCGAUGAGUGGAGUAAUAGUAGUAGAUGCAGAAUCGUUUCGGUCUACUUGUCACGGACGUGAUGCCUAUAUACAUGAUCAUGCCUAGAUAUUUUCAUAACUAUGCUCAAUUCUGUCAAUUGCUCAACAGUAAUUUGUUCACCCACCGUAGAAUACUUAUGCUCUUGAGAGAAGCCACUAGUGAAACCUAUGGCCCCCGGGUCUAUUCUCAUCAUAUCAAACUCCAUCACUUUAAUCUUGCUUUGCUUUUUACUUUGCCUUUUUAUUUUCACUUUGCAUCUCUAUACCAAAAAUACCAAAAAUAUUAUAUCUAUCAGAUCUCACUCUCGUAAGUGACCGUGAAGGGAUUGACAACCCCUAAUCGCGUUGGUUGCGAGUAGCUAUCGUUUUGUGCAGGUACGAGGGACUUGAGCGUGGGCUCCUACUGGAUUGAUACCUUGGUUCUCAAAAACUGAGGGAAAUACUUACACUACUCUGCUGCAUCAUCCUUUCCUCUUCGGGGAAAUCCAACGCAAGCUCAAGAGGUAGCAAGGUUUUGAUGCUACUCGUCAUCUUGUUUCCAACAAACUUGAGUUUGCUCAAUUCGGAGCUCAUAUGCAGAAGUUAUGGCAGUUCUGGUUUUCCAUAGAGUAUACUUGCUUUUGUGGAAGUGGCAUAAGGAUGGCGCCAGCGGUAGUACCGCUGGGCCGGAGCGGCAGUACCGCUUAUCGCCACAAACGGUAGUACCGCUGUCCCACAGCAGUAGUACCGCCCAUGGCCAUAAGCGGUAUUACGGCUCCGGUUUCGCGUUGGUACCGCCUCAACUCAAGACGUGGUUUUCUCGUGUCGGGUUCAGCGGCAGUAGGAGCGGUAGUACCGCUCAUGUGCGGUAGUACCGCGGCUACCACCGCCCCUAGUACCGCUCAAUGGCCCUCCUCCCUGUUCCUUCUCCAUGUGCUCGUGGUAGGCGCUAUGCGUGGUCCCAGCGGUAGUACCGCUGACUCCAGCGGUAGUGUCGCUCAUACGGCUCUGCCUCGCACUCUGUUUCGGUCCGCUCAUACGGCUCAUACGGCUCUGCCUCGUGCGCGGACUGAGCACAUAACGAUUGGAUUCGGGAGCUCCUAUAAAAGGGAGUCUUCUUCCCCAUUCAACCUUAUCCUUUGAGCUCAUGUUCUUCCCCCAUUGUUGACCUUCUUCGAGCUUGCUAACUCUCAAUCCCUCCAUGGAUUAUUGCUAGUUUUUGAGGGAAAAGAGAGAGGAGAUCUAGAUCCACAUUUCCACCAAUCACUUUCUCCUCUUUGUGAGGGGAACCCCUUAGAUCUAGAUCUUGGAGUUCUUGGUGCUCUCCUUCUUGUUAUUCCUCUCAUUUUCUUCCCUAGCAUUAGUUGCUUUGGUGGGAUUUGAGAGAGAAGGACUUGGGCACUCCGUGUGCCCUUUCCAUUACAUUUGGUGCAUCGGUUUGAGUUCUCCAUGGUGAUACGUGGAAGUUACAAGUUGAGAAGCUUAUUACUCUUGGGUGCUUGGUACCAUUGAGCUUGUUCCUCUUGGGUGCUUGGGCACCCUAGACGGUUGGUGGUGUUCGGAGCUCAAUCAUUGUGGUGUAAAGCUCUGGGCAAGCGUCGGGGUCUCCAAUUAGGUUCUGGAGAUCGCCCCGAGCAAUUUGACGGGUACCGGUGACCGCCCCCAAGGGUUGCCAAAGUGUACGGGUUCGGUGACCGCCCCCAAGGGUUGCCAUUUGUACGGGUUCGGUGACCGCCCUCAAGGUUCCCUUAGUGGAAUCACGGCAUCUUGCAUUGUGCGAGGGCGUGAGGAGAUUACGGUGGCCCUAGUGGCUUCUUGGGGAGUAUUGUGCCUCCACACCGCUUCAAACGGAGAUUAGCAUCCGCAAGGGUGUGAACUUCGGGAUACAUCAUCGUCUCCGCGUGUCUCGGUUAUCUCUUACCCGAGCCCUUUACUUAUGCACUUUACUUUGUGAUAGCCAUAUUGUUCUUUGUCAUAUAUCUUGCUAUCACAUAGUUGCUUAUCUUGUUUAGCAUAAGUUGUUGGUGCACAUAGGUGAGCCUAGUUGUUUCAGGUUUUGUGCUUGGCAAAUUAACCGCUAGGUUUAUUCCGCAUUUGUUCAAGUCUAAACCGUAAUUAUUUUGAAGCGUCUAUUCACCCCUCCACCCCUCUAGGCGACAUCCACGAUCUUUCACCAACUCUGAAACAAUCCACAAUUAGCGGACAAAAGUCUCAACAUCCUCCAGGGGAGAGUCGGCAAAACACAUUACAAAUAGAGAUGCCAGCAUACAAAUAGACCAAUUUAAGGGCUCCUUUAAUUCAAAGAAAUUGCAUACAACUUCUGUAGGAUUGGAUCCUACUAGAAUUUUUCUUAUCUUUGUACUACUUCCUAUAGGAAAUCUAGCAAUCACUACAAUCUCCGUUUAGAAUUUCUUUGAUGGAAUCUAAAGAAUUUGGUUGCAUACAAAAUCCUGUAGGAUUUGAGCAGGUAAGACACUGCAAUCCCCCUAUCCUAUGAAUUCUCAUAAACGCGGAGUGUUAGAAACAAGAGAUUCUUAUCAAAGUGUACAACCUACUAAAACUGUCUUCAGUUUCCGCUCAUUAGAAAAUCAUCUUGCUGAAGAGAGAAUUCCUUAUUUAACACUGUCUAAAGCUUUGUUUUCUCUAUUUGGCACUGAAAAAAGAGAUAUUUCUUCCCUAUCUAACACAACCUUUAAAUUUUGUUCCCAAUAUAACAAUUUUUUUUCAUGCAAACAAUGCUAAAUGACAUGAAAUGACAAACAUCUAUUCAAUCCUUUUCUCUAUUCCAGUGUCUUAUUUAAGGCUGGAGUCCACGGUUAGUGUAACAGAAUAACACAAAAGGUUCAAGUACGUUGUCUUAUUUAAGGGAACCGUUGUGUAGCACAAGCAAGGCCAAAGGCUCAAGUACGUACAUACAUACGCAGCUAGAGACGAGCACGUUCUUCUUCUAGGGUACGCUGAUGGUUAUCGAAAGCUGGCUAGACUCUGCACCUUCGUUCCUGACAAGCAGACUCCUCACGGACUGCUCAGGAACACUUUCCUUGAAUAAAGCUCUUGAAUGUUGCCUGCAAAAAAAAAAGUUAAUCAAGUUGCCUGUGUAUUUCUGAGCUCGCACGGCGUGCGCUGCAUUUGAGUGAAUCGAUCUAGCAUUCUAAAAUCAACACUCCACCACGGGCUCGCCCAACACCCGCCCGCUCUCGUCCGCUGUGCUUUGGUCGCCCCUGGUGGGAGCUCCUAUUCGGUGCUCCAGGCGCCAGGGAAGCUCACGCGCUGGCACAGGUGGGCCGGCCCAUGUACACAUUCACAUUGGAGAAAAAAUGAAAAAAAGAACAGGAAAAAACAUGAAAAACCAAAAGAAAACAUGAGUUCAAAAAAGUUCAUGGAUUUUUAAAAAAUCUUAAACUUGAAGAAAAAGCUCAUCAAUUUGAAAAGAAGUUCAUAAAUUUAUCUUAAAACACCAUUGAAUUUGAAAAAAAUAACAAAAAAGUUUAUCGAUUUUGAAAAAAGUUCACCUAUUUUUAAAAAAUCAUCAUUUUUGCAAAACUUUCUACUCUCUCUCUCUCGGUUUACAGGGCGUGCGCGCACUCCUAGGUCAUCAAUUUGACCAAACUAAUACAAGUCAUAUAUUACAAAAAAUAUACCAAUAUAAACUUUGGAGUUUCUACUCUCAAAAUGUAUAAUUUUUGUGUUAUAUACUCCCUUCAUUCCUAAAUAUUUGUCUUUCUAGAAAUUUCAAAUGGACUACCACAUACGGAUGCAUAUACACAUAUUUUAGAGUGUAGAUUCACUCAUUUUGCUCCGUAUGUAGUCACUUAUUGAAAUCUCUAAAAAGACAAAUAUUUAGGAACAAAGGGAGUAGUUUAUAUUAGGGUGAUAAAAUUGGCAACCUAGGUAUACGCGCAGGACUUGUAAAUUGAAACGGAGGUAGUAUAAAAAUCAACAAUUUAAAAAAAAAGGUCAUCAAUUCUAUAAAAAGUUCUUAAAAUUGAAAAAAAAAUCAUCAUUUUAAAUAAAAAAAACUUCACCAAUUCUGAGAAAAGUUCACGAAAUUUAAGUAAAAAAGAAAAAAAUAGCUAAAUGGGCCGGCCCAGCUUAGAGGGCUUCAUGAGCUCGUUUGCAAAAUGAACAGUAACGAACCCAUGAAGCACCAAAUAGGUGCGAAGGAAAUGAGUGACCUGACCUGAUUGGUGCUUCUAGUGCCAGGGGUAAACUUGUCAUUUCACGUGUUAUAUGGGGAACAGGAUUUCAACCGAAUUUUUUAUUAUUAAUAAUUAAUAACCCAAUAAUUUGGAAACUAGUGACGGGGAAGUGGAAAUUUUAAAAAUAGUAAGGACGCUAAGUACAAUGGCGUCCACAGCUGGAUACUAUCGAGGAUAGCGUCCAGGUCUGGACGCUAUUAGUAAGUGCGUCCAGUCAAGUGAUUCGCCUAACCAUCAGAUUCGACUAAACCGGGUCUUUCCUAAUGACAGACAGAAGUUACGCGAGGUUUAAAACCCUAGUACGCAUGCAGUCUGCGCUCCUGGAACUCGCCGUAUGGUAAGCAAUCUCUGGCAGCCGGCAACACCGAUCAUCACAGGAGCGGCAAGGUCUCAUCAGCCGCUCGCCAUUAGGAUCCUCCAAUUGACUUUGUGCUUGAUUCAUGUUAGUUGUUGUACUGUCCUACUGAAUCUCCUUUGUUUUAAUCUUUAUGCAAUUGAUUCAAUGAUUUACAAGCAGACACUCUAUAAAUGAUUGGAUUGGUAUUCCUGAAUUACAAUCCUUAAUUGGGUGGUUUGUGAGAAGCCAAAUUUUCAGUCGUGAGUCUAUGGUAGAUCAAUUUAAAAUUGUGAUAUUCACUUGCUGCACGUUCAUGUUUGUAGGUGCAUAUAAGAAUAUGUUAAUCGUUCUGGUUUACGUGGAUGGUGAAGUGCAACAUGGGUCCAUGAGUGUGGAGUAUACUAUUCCUCCCAAGUUAACAUUUCCAGCAUCCGAGAAUACCACUUUUGAAGAUAUCAAGAGUGAGACAUGUCGAGGACUUGCACAUGUUAAUGUCAGUGCUCAAACGAACCUGAAUAUCCAAGCUUGCUUUGAUAUUGGAGCUCCUGGACCACAUUAUUUUCAGUUAAUUCCAAUAUAUGAGGAAAGAGGGUGGAACAUGAUUUUUGAGAAGACCAAGUCCCGGACAACGUGGCAAGUGAUAGAGUUAUAUGUUAACAUCACGCCAAAUCAAGACAUGUUGAGCCAAGUCAGCGGUGGAAGCAACAUACCAAUAAUUGAAAGGCACUUACAAAGGUAUGGAAGUGCAGUGCACUCGUCAUUGCAUCAAACAUCUGCCAGUGGUUUUCCAAAUUCUAGUUCGUGUGGUCUUGAUUUCGACAUGGCACAUGCUCCAUCUUCUACUCAUGGUACUGUGACAAAUGAUUUUCCAACAGGUACUGUCAAUGACCCAUAUGAUCAGGAGGAUACAGAGACAGAGGAGGAUUUUAUGGGACAUGAUGAUGAUGAGCAUGAUUCCGAUGCCGCACCUAGCCAGAGUUCAGACGAAGAUCCAGAACCAAGCGUUAUGCAUCAUGUUAAUGCAUUUCCAUUCAUGCGUACAUGUGGACAGAAUGGCGUGAGAGCCUUUGGUGACAUAUCUAUACUAACGGAGACGACAGCAGAUGAAAGUUUUUUUGGAUGCAAGAAGCACUUUCAAAGCCCAUUGUCAGAGCAGCAAAUUUUUGAUUCAAAAGAGCACCUCAAAAUUGCGAUUGGUGAAUUUCACAUAAACAUGAACUUGAAAGUGAAGUCCAACACAAGCAGUCAAUCUAAACUUGUAGCAGAGUGUAUUGAUGACAGUUGCAUGUGGAGGUUGUAUGCAAUACCAACAAAAAUUGGUUCAUGUUGGCAAAUAAGGAAAUGUCCUUAUUCUCACACUUGUCGUGCACCGGCUAAUAGAACUGACCAUUCUCAGUUAUCGGCCUCUAUAAUUGCAGAUGUGAUUCGUGAAGCACUCAAGGAUGACCUAGAGUUAAGUAUAAAAAAUGUGCGGGCAUUGGUCAAACACCGUUACAGAAAUGUGAGACCAUCAUACAAUAAGUUGUGGCGUGGAAGGGAGAAGGCCAUAGCAUAACUUUUUGGUAGCUGGGAAGGAUCAUACAAUCUUCUCAUCCCCUUCCUCGAGGCUAUUAGAGUAAAAAAUCCAGGUACAAAGUAUGUUCUUCUAUCAAAACCCAUGACAUUAGAAGGGCAUAGAGAAUUUCGAUGUGUUGCUUGGGCAUUUGGACCUUGCAUUGCAGCAGUUCCCCACCUUCGACCUGUAAUAAGUGUGGAUGCAUCAUUUCUAUCAGGAAGAUACAAGGGCCGGUUGAUAAUGGCUUGCGGAUAUGAUGCUAAUAAUAAGUUAAUACCUCUUGCAUUUGCCAUUGUUGAGAAAUAGGACGCUACGAACUGGGGCUGGUUCAUGAGAUGGUUGCGGAGGGAGGUAAUUGGUGUUGGAAAGUUCAUGUGUGUGAUUUCAGAUCGCCACAAAGCAAUCAAAUGGGUGUUUAAGCAACCACACCUUGGGUGGAAUGAAAGUGCUGGCGAGUGUGUGCAUCGCUUUUGCUCUCAACAUGUCGUAGAGAACCUAUACAAAGCUUUUUGUGAUGAUGACAUUUUGAAAAUUUUCAAGUGGGCAGUCAAGAAAAAGAAACCUCGUAGGUUUGAGGAGGGCAUGUCAUCUAUUGAACAUACUUGUCCCGAUGCAACAACAUAUCUUAGAAAGGUCGGUAAGUAUUUGCAGGAAGAUAAAAAUGAGCAAGAGAAGCCUGAGAAAGUAUUUCAAUGCAAGGAUGGGGGUUACCGGUGGGGGAUCAUGACAAGCAAUGGGUCGGAGUCCUUAAACAAUGUGCUUAGGCUUUCCCGAAGGCUACCGGUGGCAGCAAUUGUGGAGGAGACAUUUUCAAAGUGCUUAGAGUGGUUUGUAGAAAGAAGGCGAAGUGCUCUUAACUUGGUUGACGGAGGCAACCAAUGGUCCGAACGGGUGGACAAACUAUUAGUUAAAAGGGGCGACAAGGCAGGACAUAUGCAUGUUAUUUCAUAUGGUGAUGAAGUUGGAAUAUUUGAGGUCAAGGUUGAUAAUGAGAGGGUUGCAUUACACAAUGGAGAUCAUGUUCUUUUUAUUCAUAAAGACUUUAAGUACAAGGUCACUCUGCAACCAAAUACUUCUUCAUCUUGUGACUGCCUAAAGCCAAACCUGACCGAUGUGCCAUGUGCUCAUUUGCUUGCUGUUUGCAAGUACAGGAAUCUAAAUGAAAAUCAAAUAGUUCAUUCAUAUUAUUCCUCUGAAGUACUUGCAAACACUUGGGCUGGACAAUUUCAUCCUUACGGGAACCAAAAUGAGCAAACACUUGGGCCCAUUAUUAUUCUUCAGGAUACUCCACUAGAUAAACCUCAGUAAAUCAUAUUCUCUCUCAGUAUGAGCUAUGCUUACGAAACCAAUGAGAAAUCAUUAAAGCUGCUGCAUCAACAAUAUCAAUCAUUUACUGUCAACUACAUACUCAGCACGGUUCAUUCCACAUAAGGAGAUGGAAGUGCUGAACACUAAGUAGCUAGACAACAACAAUAAGCCACACAUGACAUACUGACAAAUGCAGCUAUGCAGCAACGAUGAAUUCAAAAGGAUCAUCCACACAGUGGAAAACGUAGCAAAUACAGUCAUCCAUCAGCAUCUGAUUUAGAAUCAUGGAAAUGACGCAAUCAUAAGCACACUCACCAUAAUAAACCAGAUUUUGAAGGUUCUCUUUGCUAACUUUCUUAAAUACAUUGCUUUUAAUCUCGGCAAAAUUAUUGGACACCAAAAGAGCCAAUAGUGCAUUGUUAUGUUCAGGAAUAGACUUUUUUUCACUCAGUAUCAAUGUCAAUCUAUUAAUCAGAAGAAGAGACAAAUACCAUGCAAGAAAUAGAAGAUAUUUUCUAGCAUCUAUUGUAGUGUUGGAGAGGAAGAACAUACAGCUUCAGGGGAAAAGUACAGAGCCUACCAUCCUGUGCUCCGGCGGGUGAUGAUUGAGGCUGUGAGGAAUGCUGGGACGAGGAACGGAACAGUUGUGCUGACCGCGGUCGAGAGAAGAGAGAAGGGCCGUCAACUCCGUCAAACUCGCCGUGGUGGCGCAACCUAGUUUGACAGAGGUGGGAGGCUACCACGAGGUGUUCUAGGGGAUGACAGGGAGGCGGCCUUGAGGAGGUGGGCGAGAGAUGAGGUGGAGGGCGGCGGCGGCAGCGGUGGCCAAGGGGGCGAUGGGCCGAAGUUGCUGGAUAGGAGCCCAGCCUAAACGUGGACGUGAUUGAUGCUAGCGUCCAGUCCAGGACGUCGCUUAUACUAGCGUCCGUGCAUGGACGCCGUAAUGCCUAGCGUCCUUACUAUUUCUAAAAAAUGUAAUUAUCCUUUCCUCGUUUCAUAAUUCCGUGAUUACUAAUUACUAUUAAUAAAAAAUUCGGGGAUUUCAAAGUAGGUAUUAAAUAAGGAAGAAAUAUUUCUUCAGAGUCAAAUAGGGAAACGAAAUUUAAAACUGUGUUAAACAAGGAAUUCUUUCAUUGCACAAAGGGAGGUCAAAACAGUGUUUCCUAUUAGACGUGUAAAGAAUAGCUAUAUUUUUUGCAGGGGCAAGAAAUGGCUAUAUGUGAAGAUGCUUUGUACUAGGAAGGCGCUAUUAACAGAUGCUCAUACAGUUAACACAUAACAAAUCAAGAUAUUAGGUCUCUGAAAGAAAUGGAUGCUGUAAUGGGGGUAUGGGCUCCAAGUUCACACCGUGGGCUCCAAGUUCACACCAUGGGCUCCAAGUUCACACCGUGGCAGGGCUUUCUGAAAACAUAUAACAAUCGCAGGUACAAAACCCAGACAAGCUACAUAACUGAAUAAACAGCAGAGUACCAAGUAAUCAAACAAAGGCACCAGACUCAUGUAUAAAAAUCUUAAAAAGAUUGGUCUUCUCAAAAUAGAAACCACGGGCUAAAGAUAGUGUCAACACAAUGGCCAUAGCUCUAUAGGUACGGACUGGUAAUACAGGACUUUGCUUCCGGAUAAAAUUCACCAGCUAGCCAAGUUCUAUUUCUUCUUGUCACCAGCACCACCACCAGCAGACCUGCAUAUCAUGAGACAACAUUUUAGUCAUUUAUAAAACAACCGUUGCAGCAAAACAGAAUGGCAACUAUUUUUUCCUGAAUGUAGAAGACAUUAAAUUGGUCAGGCAAAAGAAAAAACUAAAGAACUACAAGA
rnacentral:lncRNA from 1 species